UCCGAGUGGGUUCUGAGGCCAGGCCGUCAGGGACGUGUCCGCCUCUCUCCUCGGGUGCACUGUGGUCCUGCGCGCCCUAGGCCCCCGCGAGGCUGGGGGUCAGAGGCGUGAGGAGGGGCAGGCUUCUGACCUUCCCCCCCACCCCCGGCUGGACUGAGUCCUUGGGAAACAGCGACUUCACAGACGCUCUCAGGAGCUCACCACACGCUUGGCCAGGGUGGAAGGAAAGCUCUCCUGUGCCAGGUCUGGGCGCCUCCCGGGUCAAGUUCUCAGCUGACGUGGGGCCACCGUUGCCCUCCGGGCGCUGUGAUCUAGUGGGGACGUGCAGACCCAGAGGACGUGGCUUGAGAAUGCUCGGACGGCAGCACGUGGAGGACAGCAGCAUAGAGGCCGGGCGCCCGGCGUCCACCGGGAAAGGACCUCUCGAUCGGGGGCGGCGGUACCUGCCUGCAGGGUUAUCGUGAGCGUGAAAGAGAGAAUUCCGUGAGGAGCUCAGCGCAGGGCUCAGUACACAGCACGCUUUCAUCAUCACUGCUAGCGGUACAGGUUGGGAACAAGGUGGAAGGAUUGGUGACAGCCCCUGUUGGUGAGGUGCUGAGGCAGUGGGACCCGGCACCCACCCUCCAUGGAGCGAUUUGGUGGUUUGCACUAACGCUGGAACCGCAGACAGGUUUUGGCUCUUUCUUCUGCUAGAAAUGAACCCCGCGGAGGUAAUGGGACCAGUGCACAGUGAUGAAUGUGUAAGGAUAUUUAUCCUGCCAUUGUUUGUAUGAGCAACAAUUCAGAAGCAACUAUAAAUGGAUCAAAGUAA